AAAUACCGCAUACUUUUUCUCAAUUGGCAUCGUCAGUUCAACUCGUCAACUGAAGUCAAUCAACUAAUUAAACCAAAAUGAUGAAAUUCUUGGUCUUCGCCCUCUUCGUUGCCUUCGCUGUGGCCGUUGCUUACGCUGCUCCUGGACCCAACCCAGGUCCUCAUCCAGCUCCCCUCCCAUACCCUCAACCACAAUACUACCCAACAUAUCAACCAUCUUACCAACCAUACAGACCAUCAUACUACUAGUAGGAAGUACUCCGAUCGAGGAUGUUGCAGUGCUCACGAUGACGAACCUUUAUUGGAUCAUUGCUUAUUGUAAAAUUUUUCUUCAAAAUCGUUAUUUUUUCGAAAUGCCUGUCUAAAAAUAUAUUUGGAAUAAAAAGCUAAUAGAAACUAAA